AGCACUAGAUCAGCGGAUCUGGCAGCUGCACCGAACAUCCGGGCCACAGCGAGCUCGGCGGCUCCGCCUCCCAGUAACCCGGGCGACCGCUCCGAAGUUCCUCCCCCGCUUCCGGGUUUAGGCUCUGAGACCCCGCCCCCUCCGGACGGGGUUGGUUCGCGUCUCGCCCUCCUCGCGCGGAGUCAGUGGGUAGGGGUCGGGCUUGAAACCAUAGCUGCGGGAAGGUACUCGUGUCUCCCGACGCAGACCAUGGAGAGCGCGCUGGCGGUGCCCCGGCUGCCCCCGCAUGAUCCAGGGACGCCGGUGCUGUCGGUGGUGGACAUGCACACGGGCGGCGAGCCCCUGCGUAUCGUGCUGGCGGGGUGUCCGGAGGUGUCCGGGCCCACCCUGCUGGCCAAGCGGCGCUACAUGCGCCAGCACCUUGACCACGUGCGGCGACGGCUCCUGUUCGAGCCCCGAGGGCACCGGGAUAUGUACGGGGCGGUCCUAGUCCCGAGCGAGCUGCCGGACGCGCAUCUGGGCGUCCUGUUCCUGCACAACGAGGGCUACAGCUCCAUGUGCGGCCACGCAGUGGUGGCGCUGGGCCGCUUCGCUUUGGACUUCGGGCUUGUGCCGGCGCCCCCUGCGGGCACCCGCGAGGCCCGCGUCAACAUCCACUGCCCGUGCGGGCUGGUGACCGCCUUCGUGGCAUGCGAGGACGGCCGCAGCCACGGACCGGUGCGCUUCCACAGCGUCCCAGCCUUCGUGCUGGCCACAGAUCUCGUGGUGGAUGUUCCUGGACAUGGAAAGGUGGUGGUGGACAUUGCAUAUGGCGGUGCAUUUUAUGCAUUUGUUACUGCUGAAAAGUUAGGACUAGACAUUUGUUCUGCAAAGACCAGGGACCUUGUGGAUGCAGCGAGUGCAGUGACAGAGGCAGUGAAAGCUCAGUUUAAAAUUAAUCAUCCUGAUAGUGAAGACCUUGCCUUUUUAUAUGGAACUAUAUUAACAGAUGGAAAAGAUGCUUAUACCAAGGAACCAACCACCAACAUUUGUGUUUUUGCAGAUGAACAGGUUGACAGAAGUCCCACUGGCUCAGGAGUGACAGCCCGAAUUGCCUUACAGUAUCACAAAGGGCUUCUGGAACUGAACCAGACCAGAGCCUUCAAAAGCAGUGCAACUGGCUCAGUAUUCACAGGGAAAGCUGUGAGGGUAAGUGACACCCUUAGCUUCUUAUUUAUAAAUGUGUCACUUAUGAGACUGAAGAGGCCUGAGUUGGGUGUUUGAUAAAUUUCUUUACUCAGCUCUCAGAAGAGAAUUUUAAAGCAGGCCUGUAAAAACUUCUUUUCAGCUAGGACAUUGGUUCUCCAGUGUGGUCUUGGGGCCCCAGGGGGCCCCUAAGGUCCUUUCCAUGGGUUCAGAAGGUCAAAACUAUGUUCAUAAUAAUGACAUUAUUUGCUUUUCACUGUCAUUCUCUCAAGAGCCUACAGUGGAGUUCUUCAGAGGCUACGUGAUGUAUGAUAACCCAACCAAUUGAAUGCAGAAGCUAGAUAUGAGAACUUAGUUGUCUUCUAUUAAGCCAGACAUGAAAGAGGUUUGCAAAAAUAUCAAUGCCACUUUUCUCAUAAUUUUUUUUUGUUUUGGCAAACAGUUAUUUUCACAAAAAUAUGUUAUUCAUAUGUUAAUGUAUAAUGGGUUUGUUAUUUUAAAAAUGAAGUAAUGAACAGAUAUAUCUAAUUCCUAAUACAGUAAAUAUUGAUAGAUAUAACUUAUAUAAAGAAAAACUCUUUGGGGUCCUCAAAUCUUAAGGUAUAAAAGGGUCCUGAGACCAAAAGGUUUGAGAACCACUAAAUUAGGAUUUGGGGUUUUUUUUGUUUGUUUUUUUUUGUUUUAUUUUAUAAUAGUGUUUUAUUUGAUAUAAUAGGAUGUGAAAGCCCUAAAAAGUUGUGGAACAUCAAAUUUUUGUAAUGGAAUAAAAUUUUAAAUGUGCUAACAGCUAAAUAAUGAAUCUUAUCUCAGUAGUAAAUGAAAUCUACUACAGAAUGAUUGAUUUACAUUCAGUAAAUUAUUCUACUCAUAAAGAGUCCUUUAACAUAGCAAACAAUCUAUCCUAGUAUAGCUGUUUUUAAGAUUUGGUAUUUCUGAAUAUUAGAGUUUCCUUAAGGAUCUCUACAUCAUGUAGUGAUCUGAAACGUGAAACCAUUUGUGUUGUAUGCAAAAAUUCGGAAAACACUGUCUUCAGAAUUUGAAAUGGAACAUAAAAAUAAUAACAUACAUUUAUUGGAUACUUCACUGUGCAUCAGUUUCCAAGCUAAGCACUUGAUACGUGCCAUCUCAUUUAAUCCUCACAAGAAUCCUACAAGGUCAGUACUGUACUGUUAUUAUCCUUUUUUAAUAGAUGAUAAAAUGGAGAAUUGGAGAAGUUAGGUAAUUUGCCAGAGGUUAGUUAGUGAGUAGCAGAUCCAGGUCAUGAAGGUGGGUCUCUCUGAACAGACCACAUGCUGUUAAGCUUUAUAUUAUGUUGCUGUCAGACAAAGCAAAAGGUCAAUGAGACUUUAUAUUAUAGGAGCUGUUAUGAGAAGAAUCUGAGACUUCAAUGUCCCCCCAAAUAGAGAGGCAGCCGAGAGACCAAAGAAUGACUCAGACAAGUCCAGGAAGCGAAAUGUGGUGAUUUUAAAGCUGUUAUAGUGGAAGUGUCAGGACAAGCCCAUUACACGGGUACAGCAAGCUUUAUAGUAGAAGAUGACGACCCACUGAGGGAUGGAUUUCUUCUCAAGUGACUUCUUCCAUGAUUUUAAGGGCUUUCUUUUUAAAGUAAUCAUUAUCCUUGAGUACUGUUUUCUCUAAAUUAUAUG